rnacentral:rRNA from 1 species
AUUGAACGCUGGCGGCAGGCCUAACACAAGCAAGCCGAACGAGUGGCGGACGGGUGAGUAUUGUCUGCGAACCUGCCUGAUGGAGCGGGAUAACUACUGGAAACGGUAGCUAAUACGGCAUAUCCUCGGAUUUGCCUCGAUGUGAUUAGCUAGUAGGGGGGGUAAAGGCUCACCUAGGCGACGAUCCCUCGCUGGUCUGAGAGGAUGACCAGCCACACUGGAACUGGGACACGGUCCAGACUCCUACGGGAGGCAGCAGUGGGGAAUAUUGCACAAUGGGCGCAAACCUGAUGCAGCCAGGCCGAGUGUAUGAAGAAGGCCUUCGGGGUGUAAAGUACUUUCAGCGGGGAGGCGUUACCCGCAGAAGAAGCACCGGCUAACUCCGUGCCAGCAGCCGCGGUAAUUC